rnacentral:rRNA from 1 species
GCUUGCUUCUUUGCUGACGAGUGGCGGACGGGUGAGUAAUGUCUGGGAAACUGCCUGAUGGAGGGGGAUAACUACUGGAAACGGUAGCUAAUACCGCAUAACGUCGCAAGACCAAAGAGGGGGACCUUCGGGCCUCUUGCCAUCGGAUGUGCCCAGAUGGGAUUAGCUAGUAGGUGGGGUAACGGCUCACCUAGGCGACGAUCCCUAGCUGGUCUGAGAGGAUGACCAGCCACACUGGAACUGAGACACGGUCCAGACUCCUACGGGAGGCAGCAGUGGGGAAUAUUGCACAAUGGGCGCAAGCCUGAUGCAGCCAUGCCGCGUGUAUGAAGAAGGCCUUCGGGUUGUAAAGUACUUUCAGCGGGGAGGAAGGGAGUAAAGUUAAUACCUUUGCUCAUUGACGUUACCCGCAGAAGAAGCACCGGCUAACUCCGUGCCAGCAGCCGCGGUAAUACGGAGGGUGCAAGCGUUAAUCGGAAUUACUGGGCGUAAAGCGCACGCAGGCGGUUUGUUAAGUCAGAUGUGAAAUCCC